UAGUGGUAGGGUAAAUGCAUUUAUGAAUUCAGACAAGUAUUGAGGAGAUAGUACCUCUAUUUUUGAUGAGAUAGUCAUAAUGUUUGACUUUAUCAAAUAUAGAUGAAUCAUAUGUGUAUGCAAAAAGAUAAGUGGGAGUCUCACUAAACUUCUUGGUUAUGUAUGUGGGUAUCAUACAGCACAUUGAAAAGGUAGUCCCGAUAUUACAC
rnacentral:lncRNA from 1 species